CCUACGGGAGGCUGCAGUGAGGAAUAUUGGUCAAUGGGCGCGAGCCUGAACCAGCCACGUAGCGUGAAGGCUGACUGCCCUACGGGUUGUCACCUUCUUUUAUAAAGGAAUCAAGUGAGGCACGUGUGCCUUUUUGUAUGUACUUUAUGAAUAAGGCUCGGCUAACUCCGUGCCAGCAGCCGCGGUAAUACGGAGGAUCCGAGCGUUAUCCGGAUUUCUUGGGUGUAAAGGGAGCGUAGAUGGGUUGUUAAGUCAGUUGUGAAAGUUUGCGGCUCAACCGUAAAAUUGCAAUUGAUACUGGCAGUCUUGAGUACAGUUGAGGUAGGCGGAAUUCGUGGUGUAGCGGUGAAAUGCUUAGAUAUCACGAAGAACGCCGAUGGCGAAGGCAGCUUACUAAACUGCCACUGACAUUGAUGCUCGAAAGUGUGGGUAUCAAACAGGAUUAGAUACCCCUGUAGUC
rnacentral:rRNA from 1 species